UAUUUUAUUUUAUUUUAUUGGGGUUUUUUUCCCCCUAAGGUUCACACCGUGAGGGUUGUCUAAAAAAAAAAAAAAGAGAAAAAAAAAUAUAUACCAAACCUUUUCUGCUGCCAGCCUGGAGCUCUGAACUGGGCAGAGCCACUGGCUGCUGGAAAUAGAAAUAUAAAUUAAAUAUAUAAUGGGAUUUAUCUAUCCCGAGGUUUUAACGAGCUUAGGAAGCUGUUGGGGGAGCCCAAAUCCUUUGGGAUCCCCGUCCCCAAACCCGCUCCAGCACAAUUCCCUUCUUGCACUUUGAAAUUCCUUUGGAUUUUUCUCUUUUUCCCCCAUCCCGAACUGGGUCGUUCCCCUUCCCUCGGCAUCCCUGGAGGUGCCACCCAAAAUCCCCCUGGAAAAUCCCAAAUUCCUGUGGUGCCCCAGGAUCCCAAAUCCCUGCGGUGCUCCGGGAUCCCAAAUCCCAGCAGUGCUGCCCGUGGCCUCCAGCCCCAUUUGCAACCCCAAAAACCCCAAAUUUGUGCCCAAAUCUCCCAAUUCUUCCCCAAUCCAGCCCAGGGGAUCCGGAAGGGCUGGGAAGGGAAUUGAUCCCCUGGGAGACCCCAAAUCCCUUCGGGAUCGGCGCCGGUUUGGGGCCAGUGCCCAAAUCCCCUGGACAAGGCCAGGACACCAAAGGGAGCCGGAUCCAGGAAUUCCCGGAGCUGGAUCCAGGAAUUCCCGGAGUUGGAUCCCUGUGAUUGUCUGGGAAUUCCCGGAGCUGGAUUCGGGAAUUCCCGGAGCUGGAUCCCUCUGGAUCUGUGGCAAUUCCCGGAGCUGGAUCCCGGAAUUCCCAGAGCCGGAUCCCUCCUGCUCCCGGGAAUUCCGGGACUGGGGGAUCAGGGACACAAAGCACUUACACCUUCCCCUGUGCCCGACCUUCCAAAGGCUCCCAAACCCCGGGAAUUUUCCAAUUCCCCCCGGGAAUCUCCCCAAAAAUCCCUUGGGCAGAGCCAGGAACAGGAGCUGGGAAAUUCCAGGUGGGGAUUUUGUUUUUCCUGUGGGGAAAAAAACAAACAAAUAACCCAAACAAAAAAACAACAAAUUAAAAAAAAACCAACAAAAAACCAACAAAAAAUCGGGAGAUCAGGGGGAAGGAGAAGGAAAAAAAGGAAAAAAAAGGAAAAUCUGGAGUUUAUCCACAUUUCGCUUGCACUGGGGUACGUUUUUCUUUACCCAUUUCCAUGCUCUCCUUUAGGAUCAUUGCAUGUCUCCUUUUGGGUUUUUUUCCCUUUAUUUUAUUCGUUUUUAGGAUUUUUUGUUUUUUGGUUUUUUUUAAAAUAUUCAACAAAAGAGAAAAAUGUGUAUAUUUUUGGCAAUUUAAGGUGAUGUAGCUAAGAUAUAUUUUUUUCACGCUGCUUGACCGGUCUUUAUUAUAAUAAAUAAUAUUAAUAUUAA